rnacentral:tRNA from 1 species
GAGGCCUUAGCUUAAUUAAAGUACUUGAUUUGCAAUCAAGAGAUGCGAGUUAAUUUCUUGCAGGUCUUA